rnacentral:rRNA from 1 species
UACAGAGGGGGCAAGCGUUGUUCGGAAUUACUGGGCGUAAAGGGCGCGUAGGCGGCCCGCUAAGUCGAACGUGAAAUCCCCGGGCUCAACCCGGGAACUGCGUCCGAUACUGGCAGGCUUGAAUCCGGGAGAGGGAUGCAGAAUUCCAGGUGUAGCGGUGAAAUGCGUAGAUAUCUGGAGGAAUACCGGUGGCGAAGGCGGCAUCCUGGACCGGCAUUGACGCUGAUGAGCGAAAGCGUGGGUAGCAAACAGG